rnacentral:misc_RNA from 1 species
CAGAGUUCGUGCCCUUCGGGGUAGACCUCCCACCCUUUGUAUACAUACUAUUGUUGCUUCGGCGGCUCGCCGCAAGGCCCUCGGCUUCGGCUGGGGCGUGGCCGCCGGAGAACCAUAAACCCUGAAUUACAGUGUCGUCCGAGUACUAUAUAAUAGUUA